rnacentral:tRNA from 1 species
UAGCUCAGUUGGUAAAGCAUCUGCCUGCAGUGCAGGAGACCUGGGUUCAAUUCCUGG